rnacentral:rRNA from 1 species
CAGCAGCCGCGGGAAUACGUAGGUGGCAAGCGUUGUCCGGAAUUAUUGGGCGUAAAGGGCUCGCAGGCGGUUUCUUAAGUCUGAUGUGAAAGCCCCCGGCUCAACCGGGGAGGGUCAUUGGAAACUGGGAAACUUGAGUGCAGAAGAGGAGAGUGGAAUUCCACGUGUAGCGGUGAAAUGCGUAGAGAUGUGGAGGAACACCAGUGGCGAAGGCGUCUCUCUGGUCUGUAACUGACGCUGAGGAGCGAAAGCGUGGGGAGCGAACAGGAUUAGAUACCCCCGUAGUCCCUGUCUCUUAUAC